AGUAUAUAUAUUUUUCUCCCAAAGCAAGACACAUUAUGGUGAGAGCAUACUGUAUAUUUCAAACAGCAAUGUCCUCAGCUAAGACCUACUUAUUGUGAUUAUAGUCGUAAUGGUGAGUAGUAGUAAACUAAACAGAGCAAGACAGAAAUUCUGGAUGUAAGUUUGCAAAAGAUGGAGAGUGAUUCUCAAGAUGUACGACUUGUCUGACCUCCUUCUUAUGCUCUUGAGCAAAGAUGUUUUUUACUUUGAGUUAAGUAUAAGAGAAUCUCUACAUUUGGAUCAUGAAAAAAAACCAUGCAGCAACUGUAUGAAACGGGGAUGAAGAAGACCCGUGGAGGAAACACCAUCUGUGUUUGAUAGCAGCAUACAUAAAGUGUCCAGAUGUGCAGAUGUGUGGCAGAGUGGGCAGGCUGAGGUGAUGGACUUGUGCCCCCUGGAGGACCUGGGAGUUCAUUGUGCAGUCAGCUGUGCAGGAUGAGGAAGGUUGACAGCGACAACAGAGUUAGCGUGACUGAAUUCCAUGGACACUAAAUGCUGUGCUGCUGGGAAAGUGAUUUCUGCAAUA